rnacentral:rRNA from 1 species
AUGAACGCUGGCGGCGUGCCUAAUACAUGCCAGUCGAGCGAACAGACGAGGAGCUUGCUCCUCUGACGUUAGCGGCGGACGGGUGAGUAACACGUGGAUAACCUACCUAUAAGACUGGGAUAACUUCGGGAAACCGGAGCUAAUACCGGAUAAUAUAUUGAACCGCAUGGUUCAAUAGUGAAAGACGGUUUUGCUGUCACUUAUAGAUAGAUCCGCGCCGCAUUAGCUAGUUGGUAAGGUAACGGCUUACCAAGGCAACGAUGCGUAGCCGACCUGAGAGGGUGAUCGGCCACACUGGAACUGAGACACGGUCCAGACUCCUACGGGAGGCAGCAGUAGGGAAUCUUCCGCAAUGGGCGAAAGCCUGACGGAGCAACGCCGCGUGAGUGAUGAAGGUCUUCGGAUCGUAAAACUCUGUUAUUAGGGAAGAACAAAUGUGUAAGUAACUAUGCACGUCUUGACGGUACCUAAUCAGAAAGCCACGGCUAACUACGUG